GACGAACGCUGGCGGCGUGCUUAACACAUGCAAGUCGAACGAUGAAGCUGGAGCUUGCUCCGAUGGAUUAGUGGCGAACGGGUGAGUAACACGUGAGCAAUCUGCCCUUGACUCUGGGAUAACUGCGGGAAACUGUAGCUAAUACCGGAUACUUUCACUGGAAGGCAUCUUUUGGUGAAGAAAGAAUUUCGGCCAAGGAUGAGCUCGCGGCCUAUCAGCUUGUUGGUGAGGUAACGGCUCACCAAGGCGACGACGGGUAGCCGGCCUGAGAGGGUGACCGGCCACACUGGGACUGAGACACGGCCCAGACUCCUACGGGAGGCAGCAGUGGGGAAUAUUGCACAAUGGGCGCAAGCCUGAUGCAGCAACGCCGCGUGAGGGAUGAAGGCCUUCGGGUUGUAAACCUCUUUUAGCAGGGAAGAAGCGAAAGUGACGGUACCUGCAGAAAAAGCACCGGCUAACUACGUGCCAGCCGCCGCAGUAA
rnacentral:rRNA from 1 species